UACAGAGGUCUCAAGCGUUGUUCGGAUUCAUUGGGCGUAAAGGGUGCGUAGGCGGUGCGGCAAGUUGGGAGUGAAAUCUCUGGGCUUAACCCAGAGGCUGCUUCCAAAACUGCUGUGCUUGAGUGUGGGAGAGGCGCGUGGAAUUGCAGGUGUAGCGGUGAAAUGCGUAGAUAUCUGCAGGAACACCCGUGGCGAAGGCGGCCACCUGGACGGUAACUGACGCUGAGACGCGAAAGCGUGGGGAGCAAACAGG
rnacentral:rRNA from 1 species